rnacentral:rRNA from 1 species
UACGUAGGGGGCAAGCGUUGUCCGGAAUUAUUGGGCGUAAAGAGCGUGUAGGCGGUCCGGUAAGUCCGCUGUGAAAGUCCAGGGCUCAACCCUGGAAUGCCGGUGGAUACUGCCGGGCUAGAGUCCGGAAGAGGCGAGUGGAAUUCCUGGUGUAGCGGUGAAAUGCGCAGAUAUCAGGAGGAACACCGGUGGCGAAGGCGGCUCUCUGGACCGAUACUGACGCUGAGGCGCGAAAGCGUGGGGAGCAAACAGG